rnacentral:rRNA from 1 species
UACGUAGGCAGCGAGCGUUGUUCGGAGUUACUGGGCGUAAAGAGUGCGUAGGCGGUUUUCUAAGUUUGGUGUGAAAUACUCCCGGCUUAACUGGGAGGGUGCGCCGAAGACUGGAAGGCUAGAGUAUGGGAGAGGUAAGGCGGAAUUCCUGGUGUAGCGGUGAAAUGCGUAGAUAUCAGGAGGAACACCUGCGGUGUAGACGGCUUACCUGGGACCAUAACUGACGCUGAGGCACGAAAAGCGUGGGUAGCAAACAGG